UACGUAGGGUGCGAGCGUUAAUCGGAAUUACUGGGCGUAAAGCGUGCGCAGGCGGUUCGCCAAGUCAGGUGUGAAAUCCCCGGGCUUAACCUGGGAAUUGCGCUUGAAACUAGCGGGCUUGAGUGUGGCAGAGGGGGGUGGAAUUCCACGUGUAGCAGUGAAAUGCGUAGAUAUGCGGAGGAACACCGAUGGCGAAGGCGGAUCUCUGGGCCAUUACUGACGCUGAGGAGCGAAAGCGUGGGGAGCGAACAGG
rnacentral:rRNA from 1 species